GUUGCCUAGAGUAAGUUACUAACCUCUCUAGGACUUUUUCCUAACUUAUAAAAUGGGGAUGAUAAUAAAAAUAACACCUACUUCAUAGGGUCAUUUUGAGGUUUUAUUUGGUUCGUACAUAAAUUCUAGAAUAGUUUUGUCACAUACUAAGUGCAUAGUAAGUUUACUAUUAUUACUUUAAGGUUGGAGGUGAGACGGAUAUUCAUGAGAAUUAAAAGUCACACAGCUAGUAUAUAAUAGACCCAGAACUUGAACACUCAUUUGCUGACUCCAUUCCAAUUCUUUCCACUACUCUGCAGAAAGGAUAUAAUUUUUAAGUUGGUAUUAGUUCUUUCAAAUUACCAUAUAAUAUUGUUACUACUUUUCAAGUCAACUUUUAAGGAAGAAAAAAUACAUUACAAAAUACCUUAAAUCUGUGUAUAUUUAGCCUACACAAGGAUGGAAUCAUGAUUAAAAGCAUUUUAGUGUGAAGAAAUUAUAAACAGCUAUUGAUUUUUUAAUUGUGUAGAACUUUUGGUGAUGGAUUUCAAUAUUUAGCAAUCAGCCAUGGGCCAUCUAUUUAUUUCAGGAAUUCUAAGGUCAAGCUGAGCUAUGAACAUGGAAUGAACCAACCUAGUUCUCUGAACUUAAUCUUCCUUUGAGUGUUUAGGAAGCUUCCUCCAUUAGUCUGCCUUUGUCCCCUCCAUUAGUCUGUUGGUGGGCAUGGCAUUCUACAGGUUAGCUAGAAAGACAUAAAAUCUCAUUUGUCAGACAGAAUAAGAGAAGAACAAAGAAGCAUUUUUUCACCUUCCAUUUCCAGACAUCAGUUUGCUAGAAUACCCCUGAAGGUUAAUGGCUAAUAUUGACACCUUUCUGACUUUGUAAAAGAAAUCAAGCCCGUUCAAUGUAUACGAACGUACAGAAAUGAAGAUGAAUAUAUGUCCCUAAACAUAUAACAUGCAAUUAAAGGUAACAUGGUAGGGGCGCCUGGGUGGCUCGGUCGGUUGAGCGUCCGACUUCAGCUCAGGUCACGAUCUCGCGGUCCGUGAGUUCGAGCCCCGCGUCCGGCUCUGUGCUGACGGCUCAGAGCCUGGAGCCUGUUUCAGAUUCUGUGUCUCCCUCUCUCUCUGCCCCUCCCCUGUUCAUGCUCUGUCUCUCUCUGUCUCAAAAAUAAAUAAAUGUUAAAAAAAAGUUUU